AGAGUUUGAUCCUGGCUCAGGACGAACGCUGGCGGCAUGCCUAACACAUGCAAGUCGAACGAGAACUCCUUCGGGGGUUCUUAGUGGCGAACGGGUGAGUAACGCGUAGGCAACCUGCCCUUGGAUGGGGACAACAUUCCGAAAGGAGUGCUAAUACCGAAUGUGACGAUUUUACCGCAUGUUUAAUCGUGAAAGAUGGCCUCUACAUGUAAGCUAUCGCCAAAGGAUGGGCCUGCGUCUAUUAGCUAGUUGGUGGGGUAACGGCUCACCAAGGCGACGAUCAGUAGCCGGUCUGAGAGGUGAACGGCCACAUUGGGACUGAGACACGGCCCAGACUCCUACGGGAGGCAGCAGUGGGGAUCUUCCGCAAUGGACGAAAGUCUGACGGAGCAAUGCCGCGUGAGUGAUGAAGGUUUUCGGCCGUAAAGCUCUUUUGUUUAUGACGAAUGUGCAUUAUGUGAAUAAUGUAGUGUAAUGACGUAGUAAACGAAUAAGCCACGGCUAACUACGUGCCAGCAGCCGCGGUAAUACGUACGUGGCAGCGUUGUCCGGAAUUAUUGG
rnacentral:rRNA from 1 species